GGACUACCCGGGUAUCUAAUCCUGUUUGCUCCCCACGCUUUCGGGUCUAAGCGUCAGUAAUGGUCCAGUGAGCCGCCUUCGCCUCUGGUGUUCCUCCGAAUAUCUACGAAUUUCACCUCUACACUCGGAAUUCCGCUCACCUCUCCCACACUCGAGAUUGCCAGUAUCGAAGGCCAUUCCAGGGUUGAGCCCUGGGCUUUCACCCCCGACUUAGCAAUCCGCCUACACCCGCUUUACGCCCAGUAAUUCCGAACAACGCUAGCCCCCUCCGUAUUACCGCGGCUGCUGGCAC
rnacentral:rRNA from 1 species